rnacentral:rRNA from 1 species
AAAAUGACUCUCGGCAACGGAUAUCUCGGCUCUCGCAUCGAUGAAACGUGUCGCAAAUGCGAUACUUGGUGUGAAUUGCAGAAUCCCGUGAACCAUCGAGUCUUUGAACGCAAGUUGCGCCCGAAACCAUUAGGUUGAGGGCACGUCUGCCUGGGUGUCACA